AGGGCACCACCAGGAGUGGAGCCUGCGGCUUAAUUUGACUCAACACGGGGAAACUCACCCGGCCCGGACACCGGAAGGAUUGACAGAUUGAUAGCUCUUUCUUGAUUCGGUGGAUGGUGGUGCAUGGCCGUUCUUAGUUGGUGGAGCGAUCUGUCUGGUUAAUUCCGAUAACGAACGAGACUCUAGCCUAUUAAAUAGACGUCGGGUUCUCUGCACUCGAUGGUCUUCUUAGAGGGACAAGGUGCUUUUAGCACCGCGAAACAGAGCAAUAACAGGUCUGUGAUGCCCUUAGAUGUCCGGGGCCGCACGCGCGCUACACUGAAGGAAGCAGCGUGUAACAACCUUGUUCUAACGAACUGGGUAACCCGUGGAACUUCCUUCAUGAUUGGGAUAGGGGUUUGCAAUUGUGCCCCUUGAACGAGGAAUUCCCAGUAAACACUAGUCAUCAGCUAGUGCUGAUUACGUCCCUGCCCUUUGUACACACCGCCCGUCGCUACUACCGAUUGAAUGGUUUAGUGA
rnacentral:rRNA from 1 species